UACAGAGGUCUCAAGCGUUGUUCGGAUUCAUUGGGCGUAAAGGGUGCGUAGGCGGCGCGGUAAGUCGGGUGUGAAAUCUUGGAGCUUAACUCCGAAACUGCAUUCGAUACUGCCGUGCUUGAGGACUGGAGAGGAGACUGGAAUUUACGGUGUAGCGGUGAAAUGCGUAGAUAUCGUAAGGAAGACCAGUGGCGAAGGCGGGUCUCUGGACAGUUCCUGACGCUGAAGCACGAAGGCCCAGGGGAGCAAACGGGG
rnacentral:rRNA from 1 species